rnacentral:sRNA from 1 species
GAAUGUGAUGCUGGUGAAGUGAAGUGUGACAACCAUAAAUGUAUCCCACAAAACUGGGUCUGUGACGGGGGCAAUGAUUGCGGCACCAACUGGGACGAACGUAAUUGCGUUCAAUCCUGUGAAGCUGAGCACUUCAUGUGUGCCGACGGCUCCAAAUGUGUUCCUGAUCACUGGGUGUGUGACCACGCCUAUGACUGCCACGACCGAACAGAUGAAGUAGGCUGCAUAUGUAACGAGACGACGCACUUCCAAUGUCCGGACGGCCGCUGCAUCAAUGGAGCCUGGAGAUGUGAUCGAGAUAACGACUGCGGGG